GUCAUCAUUUCCGCAACUGCAUGGGUCCCCUGUGUGAAUCCCUGAGGGCUGCAGUGAACAGGGAAAGGCCUUCCACUGGCCUCACACAGCUGGGAGGGGGUCCACCGUGCAGAGGGCUGAGGCCACCCCAGCUUGCUAUCCAAAACCUCAAGGCCACCAUCCCCAAUAGCUUGUCUCACCAGAACCGCCUGUGGAUCUGAGUCCUCCUCUCACUUGGCACUUAAGCAAGUCUCCCUCCUGUUUCCUGGGCCCAGGCACUCACCAGAUGCUCUGCUCUAUGCCUGGUCCCCUCCCCUCCCACCUCUAAAUGCUGGGACCCCAGGGCUCCAUGCUCAGCCUGCUUCUAUCCCUCUGCACUUCCCCCCAUGGUUAAUGACAGAAAGGCUCAGAUUUGACAGGUCCUAUAGGCAGCUUCAAACUAUUGUUCCAAAUCUGACUGUUCUUACCACCUGGCUCCUCUCCAUCAGUAAUCUCUCCUGUAGCUGCCUCCCAGCUGGUUCAUUCUCCACACAGCGCUGGACUGAUCCAGGCACUAGACAUGACCUAGACAGUUCUCCAUGGGGAUCAAAUCCUACCCUCUGCCAUAGGCCCUGAGACCCCUCGUCCCAUAUACUUUCCUCACUCCCCACAUGUCACUGCUCUUCCUCCCACCCACCUGGCAUAUCCCUCCUUCCCUGGUCUGCACUUACUCCUCCCAGUGCUCCUGAUUCAGAAAGUUCAGUUGUUUCCCACUUGGAAACACUACCUUGUGUUUCCUAGUGCAAGAAGAGUAGCCUUUCACCUCCACUUGAUGCAGUGCCCUUCCCUUCCUGUCCUGACCCUUCCAUGGCUUGUUUCCACAUGUCACAUCUGCCAAUGGCAGGCUGGUUGGCUUAUUGACAAAAGCACCACAAAGGAGGAGACCCUGUGCCCAGGGUAGAGGCUUCCUGGCUGCUUGCUGCACAUGUUGGAUGGGUAAGUGGAGGAGCAGCAAGCGUGACUAUGGCCCCUGCCCCUCUACCCCCAGCCACAAGGACCAGACCCUCCCUUUGGCUGAUGACAUGAGGAGAUUUCCAACCAGAUGGCCC
rnacentral:lncRNA from 1 species